rnacentral:rRNA from 1 species
UGCAGUUGAGCGCUGAAGGUUGGUACUUGUACCGACUGGAUGAGCAGCGAACGGGUGAGUAACGCGUGGGGAAUCUGCCUUUGAGCGGGGGACAACAUUUGGAAACGAAUGCUAAUACCGCAUAAAAACUUUAAACACAAGUUUUAAGUUUGAAAGAUGCAAUUGCAUCACUCAAAGAUGAUCCCGCGUUGUAUUAGCUAGUUGGUGAGGUAAAGGCUCACCAAGGCGAUGAUACAUAGCCGACCUGAGAGGGUGAUCGGCCACAUUGGGACUGAGACACGGCCCAAACUCCUACGGGAGGCAGCAGUAGGGAAUCUUCGGCAAUGGACGAAAGUCUGACCGAGCAACGCCGCGUGAGUGAAGAAGGUUUUCGGAUCGUAAAACUCUGUUGGUAGAGAAGAACGUUGGUGAGAGUGGAAAGCUCAUCAAGUGACGGUAACUACCCAGAAAGGGACGGCUAACUACGUGCCAGCAGCCGCGGUAAUACGUAGGUCCCGAGCGUUGUCCGGAUUUAUUGGGCGUAAAGCGAGCGCAGGUGGUUUAUUAAGUCUGGUGUAAAAGGCAGUGGCUCAACCAUUGUAUGCAUUGGAAACUGGUAGACUUGAGUGCAGGAGAGGAGAGUGGAAUUCCAUGUGUAGCGGUGAAAUGCGUAGAUAUAUGGAGGAACACCGGUGGCGAAAGCGGCUCUCUGGCCUGUAACUGACACUGAGGCUCGAAAGCGUGGGGAGCAAACAGGAUUAGAUACCCUGGUAGUCCACGCCGUAAACGAUGAGUGCUAGAUGUAGGGAGCUAUAAGUUCUCUGUAUCGCAGCUAACGCAAUAAGCACUCCGCCUGGGGAGUACGACCGCAAGGUUGAAACUCAAG